UACGUAGGGCGCAAGCGUUGUCCGGAAUUAUUGGGCGUAAAGAGCUCGUAGGCGGUCUGUCGCGUCGGAUGUGAAAGCCCGGGGCUUAACCCCGGGUCUGCAUUCGAUACGGGCAGACUAGAGUGUGGUAGGGGAGAUCGGAAUUCCUGGUGUAGCGGUGAAAUGCGCAGAUAUCAGGAGGAACACCGGUGGCGAAGGCGGAUCGCUGGGCCAUUACUGACGCUGAGGAGCGAAAGCGUGGGGAGCGAACAGG
rnacentral:rRNA from 1 species